rnacentral:sRNA from 1 species
AUCCUUGGCUGGAUGAAAAGAAGGUCAGAGGAUGUGAGCCAUGAAUGGGGCCUGCAGAUGUUCAAAUGGAGGUGGUGUUAAUCAGACAAAGGGCAGUUUGUAUGAACCAGAAUCAGGCCUGGCCUGUGAGGGAAAUGUAGUAGGGGCCAGAUUGUUUCCAAUCUCUGCUGUUCAGAGGUCAAGGGAUGCAGGCCUACUGUGUAUCACCAACUCUUCUGUGUAGGCCGUGUGUCUGCUGGAGUCGUAGGCAGGAGUCCAGACCCUAUGAGGAAACUUGACAAAAAAUGUGAUGAAAAUCCAAGACCUUUUCUGGCCAUCCUUGUGUUUAAACCUCAUAGCUCUCCAUGCUGGAAAGAAGGUAGGUUGAAGACGGUAAAGUGAGGUCCCUUUGCUCAGUGUUAGGGAAACAGGAGUAAACUAAGGGGUAGACGCAAUUUAGUUGAUAAUCUCAGUCUCUUUGCCUAUGUUCUCAGUUUGCCAGCCUUUGUGAAUAGUUUGCUUCAGCGAGGGGAUGGUUGGAUGGGGUGCAGUAGUCAUGAGGGAGAGAGAUGGGUGCGGGUGCAGAGAAAUAGGAAGGGAGGGGGUUAAAGCUAGUUCCUGGAGAGCUUGAAGGCUACAGCAGAAUAGAUACAGUUUAUAUUGUAUGCAGCUUCGAUGUAAGCGCAUCUGCCUCUGGCUUGAUGUAGCCAUUACUCCAGUGCUGCUUGCUGUAGAGGUUAAGAGAGGCAGGUUCCUAUGAGUCAGCUUAUGUACUCAGGGGACUGCCAGAUAAGGAGUGGGCUUCUGUUUGCCAUGUAGUGAGAUGUGUCUGAAUUCCAUGCUCCCUUGUCCUCUGCCAAACUUCCUCAGGCCCUCACUUACAUUCCUCAUUGUAUGUAUGGUGGCUUCUCCCUCCUUCCAUUCACCUUCAUGAUGACCCAGGUAAAAGUUUCAGGUUCUGGACCGUACCUCACACCCACAGCUGGUGUCUGCUCCAGCAUCAUGGCAGAGAACACCACGCUGUGGCUAAUGUCUCUGACAUUCCAGGCAGCCUUGGACAAGCGAAAGGAGAAGUGUUCUACACUGGGAAAAGUCUCCACCCCAGAGCAGACCUCGAUAUGGGAGAGCUGACCAGAUGGGCAGGCGCUUUGUCUUUGUAGAAGCUCAUUUCUGAAUGGCCAGCAACCGUGCAAUGUGCAAAUCCCAGAGCUCAGCAGUGGAACACGGCAGGCCGGAGCAAGAGAUGAGGCCCACGUGCAAAGAAACAAGGACCACUGUCAGCUAGAGGAAUUCUCUAGAUCCUUCCAGAUACCGUGUUCAAAGCUCAGAUUCUGAUAUGAAGGCAUUUCUCAGCCCUGCAUGUGGGAGUCAUUUCAUAUCCAGUUCAUACACCCCCACCCCCAGGUUUUCUUAUGCCUCUGUCCUCCUUCAAUGGAUCUGGCUGCAUUCCCUGCUCCUCAGCGUCUCAAUGAGAAGCAGGCAGAGAGACUCCUGUGAACUCAUUUGCUCUCCCAGUUCCCUCUGCACCUGCUGCCUCCAGGGCAGUGAAUCCAGCCGUUUCCACAGCAAACAGUCAUAAACAGCCGGAAGCAGUCCAGCACUUCCGGCGCAGAAGCAGGGUGGGGAGUAACUGCUUUGGCAGAGUCCAUUUUCAUACAGAUGUUCUCAUCCAGAAAACCGGAGACUGCAGAGCAUGAAGUGGGUCGGGUUGCAAAUGACAAGGCCUGCGAAGUGCAUUAGGCUGAAGUUCAGACGAUGACUCAGAGCUUCCUCAAAGAUGACCUGCACCUCACAGCACGCCAACUGGGGGCCAGAGGUUUGGGAAAGGCGGGACACAGCUGAGGAAACUGAAACUGAAGAGGCCCACCCUGGUUGUGCAAACAAAGACCCAAACAUA